GGACUUGUUUUGGUAGGUAACUGCCUUCACACGGCAGGGGUCACUGGUUCAAUCCCAGUCGCGCCCACCA
rnacentral:tRNA from 1 species